CCAAACCUAAUUUACUAAUGUCUUGUGUAGCCUACCUAUUGGGGGUCUAUCAUGAAGGAAUAUUGAAAUAUUGAAUAAAUGAACUACGGAGAGACUAGCACUUUCAUAGAAGCAGUUAAGCUGAAAAUCAGUUCAUACUCCGGGUCGAUGGUGGCGGUAAAGAACCAUUUGCUGUUUGACAACCACCGUAAAACAACGAGCUGCCAGGAAGAAGAACGGCGCGUGAUCAUCAUGGCUGCUUAUCAGCAUCAGCCGCCCAUGGGCCCGUUGCCCAUCCAGCAGCACCAUGCUCCUCCUGCUUUGUCUGGCUGCAAGAUCCUCUCAUCAGUGUAACUCUUGAGCUCCAGACAUUCCUCAACAUCUGUCUGCAACAAAUGCACAACACACAGUAUAUUGAGAUUUAGAAGAAGACACAAUAUCUGCAAUUUAAACCCCUAGAGAGAAUGGAUGAAAACAUGCGAUUUUCCUUGAUCAUACGUACAAUAAUUUGCCAUUCAUAAUUCGAUUAACCCUGCAUGAACAUACCUGCUAUCACUCUCAAAUUAAUACACAUUUUAAUUCACUAUACUAACAGUGUACAACAAAUACAUCCUAGUUGUUAAUAUUUUCUGUUUCUUAUCUAGAAUAAAAGAUUAUUUAUUUGUGAGGCAAUGACAUUCAUUGUAAACCUUGUUCAAGAGUAAUUUGUGUUACUAGAAGGUACACAGAUAUUAACUACUCAGGAGGGGAAAUAAAGAUUGUAGAUGGGGGGUGUUGUCUAGACUCUCAAAUGGGUUAAUGUUUGGGGUAGUUGUCUUGUAAGAAAAUAAAUAUUCCAAAUGACUGUUUUACAGGCUGAAGCAGAUCUUCCUCCAGGAUCUCUCAUGCAUUUAGUUGAACCUCACCCACUUCGCAAACCCUUAGGGCCUGAUAGUGCUGCAACCACUGGGCUUCAUGGAGUGGAUGGUGUGCUUCUGUUAAUGUGCAUUGUUUUGCUUACACCAAAUAUUGCAUUUAGUAUAAUGAGCUAUAAAGUUUGCAGUAGGUGUUGUGGUGGCCUGCCACACAGGUGCCCCCCUCUCUGUCUGACUCAAAAUGUUUUGAGGACGGCCUGCUCAAAUACAAUUUUCAGCAUUGCAAUUUGAUUACCUCAUGUCGAGGGUUAUUUAUUGCCCUGAGAAUUUUGUUCUGUCAUUCCCCUGACUCAUGUAAUGGUUUUAAAUAUUUCAGAUAGGGUAUUAUUUAAGGUAAAAUCACUUCAGUCACACCUUGAUUACACACAGAUGACCUCCAUUCAGCUUAAUUAUGUGACUCCCAAAAAAGAAUUGUCCACACAUUGUUAAGGUAUGUUAAGACAGUGGACACUUGUGAAUUUUGUUUGUUUAUAGUUUUAUAGUUAUAUUUUGAUAUUAAAGGAUAUUGUUUUUGUGUUGUUCUGGUUGGAUUUUUUUUAAGUUACAUCCACUGUGUCAGUGACAAAUCAUGGAGGGAAGGUUGACCUUACAAAUGUAUUAAUUAAUGUUAAAAUGGGGUCACACUUGUGUUUUAUGAUUUAUCAUGUAGGCUAUGAUUAUUUUUUAUGUAGCCAGAGACAGCUUGCUGAAGACCGUAACGUUGCUUUAUUUCUCUUAAUAAAUAUUACGUGUUAUUCCCAUA